rnacentral:miRNA from 1 species
GUGUGUGUGUGUGUGUGUGUAUUUAGCAGUCUGUGUGUGUAUUCAGCAGACUGUGUGUGUAUUCAGCAGUCUGCUAAAUACAGACAGACUGCUAAGUACACAGACAGACUG